rnacentral:lncRNA from 1 species
GGUUUUAUGUCUUGCACCAAUAUCGAGGACAUUCAUUAGUAAAUGCUUGGUUGGUUUGCGCACGUUAUGGCAGUUACACAGCAUGGCCAACAUCAAGCAUCAGCAGGCCAGGACCAGUGGGACAUGAUGGGAGCCAGAGGAGGAAGAGGAAAUUAUAUCAUGUGGGUUUGCCUUGGCACUUCAAACCUCCGAAGCUUCUAUGAUCCAUAGCGAAAG